rnacentral:rRNA from 1 species
CCCUUAGAUGUUCUGGGCCGCACGCGCGCUACACUGACGAAUGCAACGAGCUUAUAACCUUGGCCGAAAGGUCUGGGUAAUCUCCAAAUUUCGUCGUGAUGGGGAUAGAUUAUUGCAAUUAUUAAUCUUCAACGAGGAAUGCCUAGUAAGCGCAAGUCAUCAGCUUGCGUUGAUUACGUCCCUGCCCUUUGUACACACCGCCCGUCGCUCCUACCGAUUGAAUGGUCCGGUGAAGUGCUCGGACCGCGGCCUCUUGACGGUUCGCUGUCGAUUGGCUGUGGGAAGUUCGUUAAACCUUAUCAUUUAGAGGAAGGAGAAGUCGUAACA